rnacentral:rRNA from 1 species
GGAUAACCUUGCGAAAGUAAGACUAAUACCCAAUGAUAUCUCUAGAAGGCAUCUGAAAGAGAUUAAAGAUUUAUCGGUGAUGGAUGGGGAUGCGUCUGAUUAGCUUGUUGGCGGGGUAACGGCCCACCAAGGCAACGAUCGGUAGGGGUUCUGAGAGGAAGGUCCCCCACAUUGGAACUGAGACACGGUCCAAAUUCCUACGGGAGGCAGCAGUGAGGAAUAUUGGUCAAUGGACGAGAGUCUGAACCAGCCAAGUAGCGUGCAGGAAGACGGCCCUAUGGGUUGUAAACUGCUUUUAUAAGGGAAUAAAGUGAGUCUCGUGAGACUUUUUGCAUGUACCUUAUGAAUAAGGACCGGCUAAUUCCGUGCCAGCAGCCGCGGUAAUACGGAAGGUCCGGGCGUUAUCCGGAUUUAUUGGGUUUAAAGGGAGCGUAGGCCGGAGAUUAAGCGUGUUGUGAAAUGUAGAUGCUCAACAUCUGAACUGCAGCGCGAACUGGUUUCCUUGAGUACGCACAAAGUGGGCGGAAUUCGUGGCGUAGCGGUGAAAUGCUUAGAUAUCACGAAGAACUCCGAUUGCGAAGGCAGCUCACUGGAGCGCAACUGACGCUGAAGCUCGAAAGUGCGGGUAUCGAACAGGAUUAGAUACCCUGGUAGUCCGCACGGUAAACGAUGGAUGCCCGCUGUUGGUCUGAAUAGGUCAGCGGCCAAG